rnacentral:ncRNA from 1 species
CAAAGGGGUGCCAACGUACGAUUGGCUGAGAUCAUACCCUCAGACCUGAUGCAGAUCAUGCUGCCGUAGGGAUUGAAAA